GAUGAACGCUGGCGGCGUGCCUAAUACAUGCAAGUCGAGCGAACAGACGAGGAGCUUGCUCCUCUGACGUUAGCGGCGGACGGGUGAGUAACACGUGGAUAACCUACCUAUAAGACUGGGAUAACUUCGGGAAACCGGAGCUAAUACCGGAUAAUAUAUUGAACCGCAUGGUUCAAUAGUGAAAGACGGUUUUGCUGUCACUUAUAGAUGGAUCCGCGCCGCAUUAGCUAGUUGGUAAGGUAACGGCUUACCAAGGCAACGAUGCGUAGCCGACCUGAGAGGGUGAUCGGCCACACUGGAACUGAGACACGGUCCAGACUCCUACGGGAGGCAGCAGUAGGGAAUCUUCCGCAAUGGGCGAAAGCUUGACGGAGCAACGCCGCGUGAGUGAGGAAGGUCUUCGGAUCGUAAAACUCUGUUAUUAGGGAAGAACAACUGUGUAAGUAACUAUGCACGUCUUGACGGUACCUAAUCAGAAAGCCACGGCUAACUACGUG
rnacentral:rRNA from 1 species